AUUGAACGCUGGCGGCAUGCUUUACACAUGCAAGUCGAACGGUAACAGGGUGCUUGCACCGCUGACGAGUGGCGAACGGGUGAGUAAUGCGUCGGAACGUGCCGAGUAGUGGGGGAUAACGCAGCGAAAGUUGUGCUAAUACCGCAUACGUACUGAGGUAGAAAGUGGGGGACCUUCGGGCCUCACGCUAUUCGAGCGGCCGACGUCUGAUUAGCUAGUAGGUGAGGUAAAGGCUCACCUAGGCGACGAUCAGUAGCGGGUCUGAGAGGAUGAUCCGCCACACUGGGACUGGGACACGGCCCAGACUCCUCCGGGAGGCAGCAGUGGGGAAUUUUGGACAAUGGGCGAAAGCCUGAUCCAGCCAUGCCGCGUGUCUGAAGAAGGCCUUCGGGUUGUAAAGGACUUUUGUCGGGGAGGAAAUCCCCAGCGUUAAUACCGCUGGGGGAUGACAGUACCUGAAGAAUAAGCACCGGCUAACUACGUGCCAGCCGCCGCCGUAAUAC
rnacentral:rRNA from 1 species